rnacentral:RNase_P_RNA from 1 species
GAGGUUGGUGAAAUGGUCGCCCCGCCAUUGGCGGGGAGGAAAGUCCGAACUCCGCAGGACAAGGCGCCUCUGAAGAGGAGGACCCCGCUCAAAGCGGGGAUGGCAAGUGCAACAGAAAGUAAACAUCCUGACCUUGUGUCAGGAGAUAGGUGAAAUGGUGGUGUAAGAGACCACCGGUGUUCAUNNNNNNNNNNAAUCCAGCGUGAUCCGCGCGUUACGGAUGGGUAGAUCGCUUGAACGCCGCCGUGAGGCGGCGUCCAGAUGAAUGACCAUUAUCCUCCCUAUGGGAGUGACACAGAAUUCGGCUUAUGAUCCAGCCUCUAAA